GAUGAAGAACGCAGCGAAAUGCGAUAAGUAAUGUGAAUUGCAGAAUUCAGUGAAUCAUCGAAUCUUUGAACGCACCUUGCGCCCUUUGGCCAUUCCGAAGGGCAUGCCUGUUUGAGUAUCAUGAACACCUCAACUCUUUAUGGUUUUCCAUGAUGAGCUUGGACUCUGGGGGUUUUGCUGGCUCACAGUCGGCUCCUCUAAAAUGAAUCAGCUUACCAGUGUUUGGUGGGUAUCAUGGGUGUGAUAACUAUCUACGCUUGUGGUUUUUCCACCAGGUAACCUUCAGCAGUGGAGGUUCGCUGGAGCUCAUAGAUGUCUCUCCUCAGUGAGGACAGCCCUUUGAUUGUUUGAUCUCAAAUCAGGUAGGACUACCCGCUGAACUUAAGAAUAUCAAUAAGCGGAGGA
rnacentral:misc_RNA from 1 species